rnacentral:rRNA from 1 species
AGCGAACGCUGGCGGCAGGCUUAACACAUGCAAGUCGAACGGAUCCUUCGGGAUUAGUGGCGGACGGGUGAGUAACACGUGGGAACGUGCCUUUUGGUUCGGAACAACACAGGGAAACUUGUGCUAAUACCGGAUGUGCCCUUCGGGGAAGGAUUAUCGCCAUUAGAGCGGCCCGCCGUCUGAUUAGCUUGUUGGUGAGGUAAAGGACUCACCAAGGCUACGAUCAGUAGCUGGUCUGAGAGGAUGAUCAGCCACACUGGGACUGAGACACGGCCCAGACUCCUACGGGAGGCAGCAGUGGGGAA